CUUUCUAGUCCCAUAACUUCCCAGUUUACCGUUUCGGCCACCCAACCUGGAGACAGCAGUUGUGAAAUCUUCCCAGGCAUGUCGCUUGGCAGGUCGCCAUCAGGACUACUAGGACAGACCUGACCAAAAGUCUCACUCACCGAGCUCUCUGACCACCCUGGGGUGUCUACACACCGUUCCUCCCAUGAGAGCAGCUCCUUGUUCAGAGAGCUCUCCAUAUCACCUUGGAAAAAGAUGAAAGAUGCAGUGGAAAAAUGAACAAGGGAUCUGAGUGUCAUCGUACACACUCAAACCUGUUCAACUUCACUUAGAGACUUGGAAAUCCCUGCCCAAGAAGAGCUGAUCUUAAUGACAAGGAUCACAAGUUUGGCCACAUGCCUUACAAAAAUGUUUCUAUGUAUCUGAGACAGAUGGGUUUCAGUCUAGAUCUCGGCAUCCUGCCUCAGCAUCCUGGGGUUCAGGGAUAAUUGUGCACCACCAUGCCCUGUUCCUGUCACAACUCUGGAAGAAGUUCUGCAAAACACAAAUGUGUGUCCUGCCUCAGCUCCAAGCAACACCUGGAGCCUGGAUGGUGACACCCAUAUCACCAACCCAAGACUUGCCAUUGGCAACCCAGAUGCUCUGAGGGGCCUCCGUCCGGAAGGCAUCCUCACUAGCUAUUGUGUUAGCUCAGGUUUCGAUCCCAUCAUUAAGCUUUACUCUUUGACUUCAUAAAGAUUCUCUUCUCUAUCCACCUGACUAGUUACAGAAGUCAGUAUCCUCUUCUACAGGUCUCAAAGGGAGGAUUAAGUAAUAGUUGCUUAAUGAAGCAAGAAAGCAAAUAUGGUUGGCCAUAUGUUGCCAAGAAAAAGAAGAAUGUGUCUUGUUUCCUAGAAGAAGAAGAAGAAGAAGAAGAAGAAGAAGAAGAAGAAGAAGA
rnacentral:lncRNA from 1 species